AUAAAAUCAAUAAUAAAUAAAUGAUUUUUUUUCAGGUAUUACUUUGUACUGUACAAAAUGACAUUUAUGUGGUAUUCUUUCAUUGGAUUCCUUCUGACAUUUUUACUCACAGCUUUUGCUGCUUUAAUAACGGGAUGGAAAAAGAAUGCAAUACCUGCAGAUUCUAAGUGUUUGAGUCCUGUUACUCAUUUUUGGAUGAAGAGAAAUCAAGUAUUUGUCCAACAAAUGAAAUAGAAAUAUUCGAUACAGAGUACAGAGACACAAGUAGAAUUUUCUUCGUGAAAAGUUGUAUACACACAACUGUGUACUCUAAAAUGCUCUAAAUCCCAAAUAAAUUAAAAGUUUUCAUUGUUGUA